AUGCUUGUUACUCAACUUGAAUUAAAUGUCAUUGGCUUUGAGCACAUAAAAGACUUGUAUGAGCAUGAUCCUACUUUUGCCAUUCCUUAUGCCAAAUGUUUGAUGCACACAUCUUGGGAACGCUAUUACAUCAAAGAUGGAUAUCUUAUGAGAGCUAACAAACUUUGCAUUCCCGAGUCUUCUCUUCGUUUGUCACUUUUGAAAGAAUCUCAUGGAGGAGGACUAAUGGGACAUUUUGGACGCAACAAGACAUUCGCUACGCUCUCCAAGAACUACUUUUGGCCUAGGAUGUUCCGCGACGUCAACCGCUUCACCAACCGAUGCUCUACAUGCCGCAAAGCUAAGUCUAAAGCUCAAUCUCAUGGCUUAUAUAUGCCUCUUCCAAUUCCAUUCCAGCCAUGGGAAGAUAUUAGCAUGGAUUUUGUGCUUGGUUUUCCUAGAACUCGAAAUGGCAAGGAUUCCGUUUUUGUUGUUGUGGACCGAUUCUCUAAAAUGGCACAUUUCAUUCCUUGCAACAAGAUAGAUGAUGCUUCACAUGUUGCCAAUCUCUUUUGUAGGGAAAUCUUGCGACUUCAUGGAGUGCCAAAGACGAUUGUCUCGGACAACGACGUCAAGUUCUUGAGUUAA
rnacentral:rRNA from 1 species